rnacentral:rRNA from 1 species
UAGUCCACGCCGUAAACGAUGUCAACUAGCCGUUGGGACCUUGAGGUCUCGGUGGUGCAGCUAACGCGUGAAGUUGACCGCCUGGGGAGUACGGCCGCAAGGCUAAAACUCAAAUGAAUUGACGGGGGCCCGCACAAGCGGUGGAGCAUGUGGUUUAAUUCGAUGCAACGCGAAGAACCUUACCAUCCCUUGACAUCAUCAGAACUUGUUAGAGAUAACUCGGUGCCUUCGGGAACUGAAUGACAGGUGCUGCAUGGCUGUCGUCAGCUCGUGUCGUGAGAUGUUGGGUUAAGUCCCGCAACGAGCGCAACCCUUAUCCUUAGUUGCCAGCACGUUAUGGUGGGAACUCUAAGGAGACUGCCGGUGAUAAACCGGAGGAAGGUGGGGGAUGACGUCAAGUCAUCAUGGCCCUUAUGGGGAUGGGGCUACGCACGUGCUACAAUGGCCAGUACAGAGGGGCAGCGAACUCGCGAGAGCAAGGCAAA